CCCAGCAGUAGUCAGCUGUCCAGUCAUGCUCUGACUGUGACUGUGUUACACUGCUGGAAGAUAAAGGCACUACCACCCCUUGCCACAAGCCGUGGUCUCCGUUUUGGUGACGCAUGGUCCUGGCAUAAGGCAGUGCCGUGCUUCCUCGAGAGUGCGCUUAUCACCUGUAUGUAAGUGCUAGUAUGGAAGCAUACACA